rnacentral:rRNA from 1 species
AUUGAACGCUGGCGGCAGGCCUAACACAUGCAAGUCGAGCGGAUGACGGGAGCUUGCUCCUUGAUUCAGCGGCGGACGGGUGAGUAAUGCCUAGAAAUCUGCCUGGUAGUGGGGGACAACGUUUCGAAAGGAACGCUAAUACCGCAUACGUCCUACGGGAGAAAGCAGGGGACCUUCGGGCCUUGCGCUAUCAGAUGAGCCUAGGUCGGAUUAGCUAGUUGGUGGGGUAAUGGCUCACCAAGGCGACGAUCCGUAACUGGUCUGAGAGGAUGAUCAGUCACACUGGAACUGAGACACGGUCCAGACUCCUACGGGAGGCAGCAGUGGGGAAUAUUGGACAAUGGGCGAAAGCCUGAUCCAGCCAUGCCGCGUGUGUGAAGAAGGUCUUCGGAUUGUAAAGCACUUUAAGUUGGGAGGAAGGGCAGUAAGCGAAUACCUUGCUGUUUUGACGUUACCGACAGAAUAAGCACCGGCUAACUCUGUGCCAGCCGCCGCAGUAAUAC